rnacentral:rRNA from 1 species
GACGAACGCUGGCGGCGUGCCUAACACAUGCAAGUCGAACGGACAGGCCCUGCUCUUGUUCGGUUCUCGAGUGCCGAACGCGUGAGUAACACGUGAGUAUCCUGCCCUUGACUUUCGGAUAACUUCAGGAAACUCCGGCUCAUAUCGCAUAUGAGCUCCUGCUGCAUGGUGGGCGUUGGAAAGUUUCGGCGGUUGGGGAUGGACUCGCGGCUUAUCAGCUUGUUGGUCGGGUAGUUGCUUACCAAGGUUUUGACGGGUAGCCGGCCUGAGCGGGUAGCCGGCGACAUGGGGACUGAGGGACGGCGCAGACGGGUACGGGAGGCAAUAGGGGGAAAUAUUGCAGAAUGGGCGGGAGCCAGAGAAAGAAGCGCCGGGUGCGGGAUGACGGCCUUCGGGUUGUAAACCGCUUUGGCCUGUGACGAAGCGUGAGUGACGGUAAUGGGUAAAGAAGCAACGGCUAACUACGUG